AGCCUUGGGUAGAAUUCCAGUGGCCCUGACUGAAGACCAGCAGUUGUACUGUGGCUGUUGGUUUCAAGCAGAGGCCUAAAGGACUGUCUUCCUGUGGUCUGUUGGCUGUUCU